rnacentral:rRNA from 1 species
UGGGGAAUAUUGCACAAUGGGCGCAAGCCUGAUGCAGCCAUGCCGCGUGUAUGAAGAAGGCCUUCGGGUUGUAAAGUACUUUCAGCGGGGAGGAAGGGAGUAAAGUUAAUACCUUUACUCAUUGACGUUACCCGCAGAAGAAGCACCGGCUAACUCCGUGCCAGCAGCCGCGGUAAUACGGAGGGUGCAAGCGUUAAUCGGAAUUACUGGGCGUAAAGCGCACGCAGGCGGUUUGUUAAGUCAGAUGUGAAAUCCCCGGGCUCAACCUGGGAACUGCAUCUGAGACUGGCAAGCUUGAGUCUCGUAGAGGGGGGUAGAAUUCCAGGUGUAGCGGUGAAAUGCGUAGAGAUCUGGAGGAAUACCGGUGGCGAAGGCGGCCCCCUGGACGAAGACUGACGCUCAGGUGCGAAAGCGUGGGGAGCAAACAGG